ensembl:lncRNA
AUGACACUGAGACCGGAGAACAGUAUAGUAAACGCUUGACACCAUAACUGCAUCUCUCACCUUAAAAGCACAGUGUACUAAAAUGAGACCCAUCAGACAAUGUGCACCUAUUUUGAACAUGUCAUUUGGAUUUUAAAUGACAGAUUUUAGUUUCAUCACAAUGCAUGAACAAUGUUCUUCUACAUUGUGAAGAAUGGAAUCCUGUUCUUUUUAAUACACAUUAUAAAAUAAUAUGAUUUAUUUAUUGGUGACCUUUCCUUUGAAUAAUGAAAUAUUUUUUUAAACAUUCAAUAAUUUUGAGUGAGCACUAAAUUUAGCGGACGACUAUUGUAGACUAGCAAAAUUACCAUUGAUACAACUCCUGCUUAUUAUUAAAUCGUCUUACAAGACUUGAGCAACCUCGACUUAAUAACAAGAUAUGAAUUCAUUAUUAAUGAUAAAGAACAUCUUUCCAAAUGUACCGUAGCGAGGGACAGGAAUUGGGAGGAACACAAUUUAUUUAGACAUUUUAAGAUGUUAAGAGGUUUUUACAUUGUUCAGUUACAAGUCCCUAAAAUCUCCAAUUGUUUCCCUGAGAACGUCACAUCUUAGUCAUUUAGCCGAGGCUCAUAUCCAGAGCUGUACAGUCAGUACAUUCAUCUUCAGAUGGCUAGGUGGGACAACCACAUAUCACAGUCAUAGUCAGUACAUUCAUCUUCAGAUAGCUAGGUGGACCAGUCAUAGUCAAUACAUUCAUCUUCAGAUAGCUAGGUGGACCAGUCAUAGUCAGUACAUUCAUCUUCAGAUAGCUAGGUGGGACAAUCACAUAUCACAGUCAUAGUCAGUACAUUCAUCUUCAGAUAGCUAGGUGGGACAACCACAUAUCACAGUCAGAGUCAGUACAUUCAUCUUCAGAUAGCUAGUUGGGACAACCACAUACCACAGUCAUAGUCAGUACGUUCAUCUUCAGAUAGCUAGGUGGGACAACCACCUAUCACAAUUGUAGUAGCUACACAUCUCCUCAAUAAAGUAGUUAUCAGCAAAGACAAAGCUAGUGGUUAACGUCUUUGGGAUAGGGGGCGGUAUUUUGACGUCUGGAUGAAAAGCGUGCCCAAAGUAAACUGCCUGCUACUCAGGCCUAGAAGCUAGGAUAUGCAUAUAUUUGCAUAUAAAGUUUCUAAAACUGUUAAAAUAAUAUCUGUGAGUAUAACAGAACUGAAAUGUCAGGCGAAACCCCGAGGAAUAACCAACUCGAGGACAAACCAACCCCCCCCCCAAAAUAACACUGAUUUCAAUGGCUGGCACUUUUAUAAUAGGGCGAAAUCCUCCCAGAUUGCAGUUCCUAGGGUUUCCACUAGAUGUCAACAGUCUUUAGAAAGAGUUUCAUGCUGUUUUUUUGGAAAAAUGAGCCAGAGAUUGUAGUUUUUCUAGGUGGCUCCCAUUUUGGCUCUAGUGUUUCGAAGCGCGUGAAUGAGAGCGUGUUCUUUGGUAUUUUUCUCCGGGAAAGACAAAAAAGAUUCUCCGUCUUAAAUUGUAUCGGCUAUCACAGUGCCAUCCGUUUUGUCACCAAAGCCCCAUACACAACCCACCAUUGCGACCCGUACGCUCUCGUUAGUUGGCCCUCGCUUCAUACUCGUCGCCAAAUCCACUGGCUACAGGUUAUCUACAAGUCUCUGCUAGGUAAAGCCCUGCUUUAUCUCAGCUCACUGGUCAACAUAGCAGCACCCACUCGUAGCACACGCUCCAGCAGAUAUAUCCCACUGGUCACCUCCAAAGCCAAUUCCUCCUUUGGUCAUCUUUCCUUCCAGUUCUCUGCUGCCCAUGACUGGAAUGAAUUGCAAAAAUCUCUGAAGCUGGAGACUCACAUCUCCCUCACUAGCUUUAAGCACCAGCUGUCAGAGCAGCUUACAGAUCACUGCACCUGUAGAUAGCCCAUCUGUAAACAGCCCAUCUAUCUACCUACCUCAUCCCCAUACUGGUAUUUAUUUAUUUUGCUCCUUUGCACCCCAGUAUCUCUACCUGCACAUUCAUCUUCUGACAAUCUACCAUUCCAGUGUUUAAUUGCUAUAUUGUAAUUACUUCGCCACCAUGGCCUAUUUAUUUCCUUAACUUACCUCAUUUGCACUCACUGUAUAUAGA